rnacentral:rRNA from 1 species
AGUGAACGCUGGCGGUAGGCCUAACACAUGCAAGUCGAACGGCAGCACAGUAAGAGCUUGCUCUUACGGGUGGCGAGUGGCGGACGGGUGAGGAAUACAUCGGAAUCUACUUUUUCGUGGGGGAUAACGUAGGGAAACUUACGCUAAUACCGCAUAUGACCUACGGGUGAAAGCAGGGGAUCUUCGGACCUUGCGCGAUUGAAUGAGCCGAUGUCGGAUUAGCUAGUUGGCGGGGUAAAGGCCCACCAAGGCGACGAUCCGUAGCUGGUCUGAGAGGAUGAUCAGCCACACUGGAAAUGAGACACGGACCAGACUCCGACGGGAGGCAGCAGUGGGGAAUAUUGGACAAGGGGCGCAAGCCUGAACCAGCCAUACCGCGUGGGUGAAGAAGGCCUGCGGGUUGUAAAGCCCUUUUGUUAGGAAAGAAAAGCAGCAGGUUAAUACCGCGCUGUUCUGACGGUACCCAAAGAAUAAGCACCGGCUAACUUCGU